rnacentral:rRNA from 1 species
UACGUAGGGCGCAAGCGUUGUCCGGAAUUAUUGGGCGUAAAGAGCUCGUAGGCGGCCUGUUACGUCUGCUGUGAAAUCCCGGGGCUUAACCCCGGGCGUGCAGUGGAUACGGGCAGGCUGGAGGCAGGCGGGGGAAAACGGAAUUCCCGGUGUAGCGGUGAAAUGCGCAGAUAUCGGGAGGAACACCGGUGGCGAAGGCGGUUCUCUGGGCCUGUACUGACGCUGAGGAGCGAAAGCGUGGGGAGCGAACAGG